CAGACCAUAUUUUCAGGGAUCGUUUCUAUACUUGGUUACUGGGGAAGUCUAGAGCCUCAGAAACCACGAGGAAGGUGCAGUGUUCUCUCCCGAGUGUGAAGCCAGAUCUUGGUGUUGCUUCUGCAACUGCCAUUUGUCAUCCAUAAUUGUCCUUCUCUUCCUCUGGGAGAAUGAGAGGAAGAGGAUGGCGCGGAGCAGU
ensembl:snoRNA U3 Small nucleolar RNA U3